rfam:Cavia porcellus supercont2_28 genomic scaffold, whole genome shotgun sequence.
GGGGAUUUAGCUCAGCGGCAUAAGCACCUGCCUUGCAAGCAGGCGGUCUUGAGUUCGAUCCCUGAAAAAGACCA